UACAGAGGUCUCAAGCGUUGUUCGGAUUCAUUGGGCGUAAAGGGUGCGUAGGCGGCGCGGUAAGUCGGGUGUGAAAUCUCGGAGCUUAACUCCGAAACUGCAUUCGAUACUGCCGUGCUUGAGGACUGGAGAGGAGACUGGAAUUUACGGUGUAGCGGUGAAAUGCGUAGAUAUCGAGAGGAACACCAGUGGCGAAGGCGAGUCCCUGGGCCUUACCUGACGCUGAGGAGCGAAAGCGUGGGGAGCGAACAGG
rnacentral:rRNA from 1 species